rnacentral:rRNA from 1 species
UACGGAGGGAGCUAGCGUUGUUCGGAAUUACUGGGCGUAAAGCGUACGUAGGCGGCUUUGUAAGUAAGAGGUGAAAGCCUGGAGCUCAACUCCAGAACUGCCUUUUAGACUGCAUCGCUUGAAUCCAGGAGAGGUGAGUGGAAUUCCGAGUGUAGAGGUGAAAUUCGUAGAUAUUCGGAAGAACACCAGUGGCGAAGGCGGCUCACUGGACUGGUAUUGACGCUGAGGUACGAAAGCGUGGGGAGCAAAC